rnacentral:rRNA from 1 species
GACAUGGAUAGGCCGGGUGUGUAAGCGCAGCGAUGCGUUGAGCUAACCGGUACUAAUGAACCGUGAGGCUUAACCUUACAACGCCGAAG